rnacentral:rRNA from 1 species
UCCGAAGGGGGCUAGCGUUGUUCGGAAUUACUGGGCGUAAAGCGCGCGCAGGCGGCUAUCCAAGUCAGUGGUGAAAGCCCGGAGCUCAACUCCGGAACUGCCAUUGAAACUGUUUAGCUUGAGGACGAGAGAGGUGAGUGGAAUUCCCAGUGUAGAGGUGAAAUUCGUAGAUAUUGGGAAGAACACCGGUGGCGAAGGCGGCUCACUGGCUCGUAUCUGACGCUCAGGCGCGACAGCGUGGGGAUCAAACAGG